UGUCAAGUGAUGGGAAUCGAACCCACGACCUUCCGCUUACCGGGCAGAUGCCAUGACCACAACUUAUAAUUGUAAC